AUGGGGUGCAAAAGUGACCUGGCUGACCAGCUGCAGGAGGAUGGCAGUGAUGGAAUGAAUGCUGUUGCUGCUGAAUAUGAAGAAAGCAGCGAAGAAGAAGAACCAUUUGAACGUGAAUUCUACGAUGAUGAUGAUGACGACGAAGACAAUGUGGGUGAGCCAGACACACAAGCUGUGGAUCCUUGUGAAGAUCCUGUGGCAGAAGAAGAGGAGGCUAAUGGAGACGAACCUUGCAAUGGCGUCACCCCACUUGAAGAUGAGGAUUCCAGUUACGAUGAACCUUUUGUUGAUGAACUCUGUUAUGAGGAAGAAGACAGUGGCGAGCAGGACUCAUAUUAUGCGGAACCUUUCACGGAUCAGCUCUGUGAAGUGGAGCCAUGUGAUGUUAAGGUGGCUCAUGCGGAAAACUUUGUGAAGAAGAAGUCCAGUCCUGUUCAGGCUAUCAAGAAGGAACAAAAUAAGGAAAAGGUCCUAAAACAGGCACUAGGAAAGGGCAGCAGCCAUGAGCACAAGGCAGUACCAGUGAAUGAUGAAAUUGAAUUGAAGCCGUUCAAGAAACGAUUGUCUGUCAGGUUUGCUACUGAUGUGUCUUGUUACACAUACAGUGCUGAAAGUUUUGGUGAUGCCAAGUUGGAGAAAAGGAAAGCUCAGUUUGAUGACCUGAACAGCCACUUGUGUAAGAGGCAAGAACACACAGUUUCUUUACCUCAUGAAGGUGUCAAGCUGAAAGAAGUGGAUGACACUAACCUGUAUGUGGGUAACCUGCCAGCUUCUGUGACUUCUCACAAGCUUAUCGAGUUAUUUCUACCUUUCGGACGAAUCGUUCGAUCAAAAGUGGCGGAUGAUCGUUUCACUGGUGUAAGCCAGGGAUAUGGCUUUGUGAAGUAUGCUGAACCUCGUAGUGCCACAGCAGCUAUUGAACGCAUGAAUGGGCGCCUGGUUGAUGGGAAAACAUUAGAGGUUAGAGUAGCUGCAGUUCCAGCUCCACCAUCAGUAUCCAAUCCAUCAAUGCAGUCCGUGUCAGAAACAUGCAGUCUGCCCUCGAAAGAAAUCGACCCGAGCUACUUGUAUGUCUGCAACCUCCCCUCAGCCAUGGACACGCUGAAGCUACUCGAGUAUUUUCUGCCUUUCGGGAAAGUAACUGAUAUAAGGAUGCCCAGGGAUCACACCACAGGUUUAAGCAAAGGAUAUGGCUUUGUGAAGUACUCUGAUUCUCAUCAUGCAGCUCAGGCCAUCAUCCAUUUGAAUGGAUUUCUGGUUGAGGGUAAAAAGAUGGACGUCCGGGCGUAUGACCCCUCUCCACCCAGACCCAUCAAGGAAAUCGACAUGGCCAAUCUAUAUGUCUGCAACAUUCCUGUAUCCAUUGACACAAAUAAGCUGGUUGAGCUUUUCUCGCCAUUUGGUAAGAUCACCCAAGCUAGAGUGGCAGCAGACCAAGGAUAUGGCUUCGUCAAGUUUGCCGAUUCUCAGUGUGCUGCCGAGGCUAUCGCACUGAUGAAUGGAUCACUGGUUGAAGGGGAGACAUUAAUUGUCAGAGUUGCAGGCCUUUCAUCAUCAGCAUCCAGCUCAGCUGUACAAGGCUCGCCAAUUGCCUCUCCAGAAAUCAACAAAUCAAGACUGUACGUCACUAACCUUCCGCGGACCGUGAACGCCGAUAAGCUGGUUCAACUUUUCGUGCCCUUUGGUCAGAUCAGCAAAGUCAUGGUCAAUCUGGAGUAUAGCCUAGUGUUCUAUGCAGAUGUAGCCUCAGCGAUCAAGGCUGUUGAACGUAUGGAUGGGUAUCUAAUUGGUGGAAAGAGGCUAGUGGUCAGGCGAUCAGACUCCUCUUGUCCAACCGAUGGAGCAGAGCAUGCUUCCUCACAGUCAGCUGCCAAGCCCAUGAGAGAAAUUGAUAUGGCCAACUUGUGUGUUGCCGGCAUCCCACCGACGAUGACCGGCGAUCAGCUGGUUGAGCUUUUCCGGCCAUACGGGCAAAUCGUGCAAUCUCGGAUGUUUCGUGGGUAUGGCAUGGUUAGGUACCAAAACCCUUCGUCUGCAGCUGCUGCAAUUGAUCAUAUGGAUGGUUACCUAAUUGGAGGAAGUACCCUGGCUGUGAGAGUGUCAGGCCUUCCUAACCCCGUCGAUUUCAACGCUGCAGCAAACGCUCCUCUAACACUGCAACUGCAACAGAGGCCUGCCAAUAUCAUUGCUGCUGCAACAAAUCCCAUGGACUUCACCGCUGCUGCCACAAAUGCUGCCCCGACACCACAACUGCAACAACCGCGGCCUGCCAACGGGCCGCAGAAACAAAUCGACAUGACCAACCUAUAUGUCUGCCAUCUCCCGCCCUACGUCACCACUGAAAAGCUGAUAGAACUCUUUCUGCCAUGCGGCCAAAUAACUCAAGCCAAGGCAGUUGUUGACCUAUGCACUGGUGUGUGCAAGGGAUAUGGGUUUGUCAAAUUUGUUGAUACUUAUGCUUCUGCCGUGGCCCUCACUUACAUGAACGGUUACUGGCUGGAGGGGCACAUCUUGGAGGUCAGGAUAGCCGGUGUCCAUCAAAGCGCUAUGGGCGGCUACAUGGCGCAUCUCUACUCCCAGUUCACAGUCCCUGAUCCCUCAAUGACGGCGAUUGGAGUACCAACAUCGUCGUGUUGGCCAUACCAUUGUGCUGCCGAAUCAGUAGCAUACACCGCAGAGAACCAGGGCCAGGGAACCGACGCUGCUUCUCAAACAUCUCAGCCGCCUGAAUCUCUGUCAGCCAGUUCAUCAUUUGCUCCUGACAUGGAAUGGUCUCCUGUGUCCUCAACCCAUCUCGCCGACACUAGUUCUCAGCAGCAACACUUGUCAAGCCAUGUCGCCGACACUAGUUCUCAGCAGCAACACUUGUCAAGCCAUGUCGCCGACACUAGUUCUCAGCAGCAGCAACAACCUUCAGCAGGCUGGGCCGGUCCGCCUGGCUUCGAGCCCUCUCAUGCGCAUGCGGCGGUCUCUCCCCCUCAGCCGCCGCCGUCAGCAGUACCUUGGGCUGGCCCGCCCGGCUUCGAGCCCCAUUCCAUCCCCAAGAAGAAAGAUGCCGCCACCGCAACAAAACCUUCCCAGCCUUGCUCCAAGGUCCAUCUGGCACAGUCAGGAGGCAGCCAGAAACGGCGUUCGAUUGUCUAG
rnacentral:rRNA from 1 species